rnacentral:rRNA from 1 species
UUUACCGGAGUACUAUGAAUAUUUAAACAUUUAAAACUUAAAGAACUUGGCGGUGUUUUAGACCACUUAGGGGAACCUGUCUCGUAAUCGAUAAUCCGCGUUAAACCUGACCUUUUCUUGUUAUCAGUUUGUAUACCGUUGUCGUCAGGUAACUUUUUAGAAAUUAGAAGUUAGCGAUAAAAGCAAUUUAAUGACUUAGGACGUCAAAUCAAGGUGCAGCUAACGAAAAGGGGAGGAUGGGUUACAAUUAUUUGAUUUAUAAUAACGGACGAACAACAUGAAUAUGUUUCAAAUUAUAAGGUGGACUUGAAAGUAAAUUAGAUUAUAUAGAUAGUUUGAAUAAGGCUCUGAAACGUGU